CCUACGGGUGGCAGCAGUCGAGAAUCAUUCACAAUGGGGGAAACCCUGAUGGUGCGACGCCGCGUGGGGGAAUGAAGGUCUUCGGAUUGUAAACCCCUGUCAUGUGGGAGCAAAUUAAAAAGAUAGUACCACAAGAGGAAGAGACGGCUAACUCUGUGCCAGCAGCCGCGGUAAUACAGAGGUCUCAAGCGUUGUUCGGAAUCACUGGGCGUAAAGCGUGCGUAGGCUGUUUCGUAAGUCGUGUGUGAAAGGCGCGGGCUCAACCCGCGGACGGCACAUGAUACUGCGAGACUAGAGUAAUGGAGGGGGAACCGGAAUUCUCGGUGUAGCAGUGAAAUGCGUAGAUAUCGAGAGGAACACUCGUGGCGAAGGCGGGUUCCUGGACAUUAACUGACGCUGAGGCACGAAGGCCAGGGGAGCGAGAGGGAUUAGAUACCCGAGUAGUC
rnacentral:rRNA from 1 species